CACCCACUUACCCAGUCCCCAACCCACGUUCAGAAAAUGAAAUCAAAACCCCUUUGUGUAUUUUAUCUCUCUGUUAUUUGGCCAAAAAAAUUUUCUUUCCAUCUGUAUUUUGGUAUCAUUAAUGGAGAUUUCUGGUAGCAAUAUACGAGCUUUGUUACCAGAUUGUGUUUUUACCAAGCCUUGGAUGUACUUUUUUGGUCAUGACCCGUUCAUUGCACGUCUUCUCGGCACGAAAAGAAUAUGUUUUGGGUUCAUUCACAUUUCAGUUUUGGGGCUAAAAUUUUCCUUCCCGUGAUACCAAAAGGUGCACGUGCCAUGUUCUUCUAGAUCUAAAAUAUUUUUUAAGUUAUCACAAUUGAGCCUGAUAUUUAUGUGCAUCAUCUUUUGUUAUAAGAUUAGUUUAUGUUACUUGUUUUUUAUACAACAUUGCAGUGAUGUUCAUCUUUGUCUCUACAAGGAGCAUUAGAUAAUUCUAAUUUUGUGUCCAUCCUAUGGACUUAGGUCUAGGGAUCUAAAUACUAAUUGAGGGUCUUCCUUUAAGAGAAAGUGGAGCAGGUUCAACCUUAAAUUAAAGUGCAAGAAGAACAUAAUUAGUUUUGUUAAGGGUAGUUUAAUGUUGUUUUCAUGUACAUGCGCUAAAAUUCUCCUCUUUUUUUCAGGAGGUGCAAUAUGAGUAUAUUUUAGGAAUGGUCACGUUUUGGCUAUUUGUAAUUAAUAAUGAUGUUUUUAUGAGUAUUAAUUAUUAUGUGUUCAAAUGUGUAUUUAUCUGAGAAAAACAUGAAA